rnacentral:rRNA from 1 species
CCUACGGGAGGCAGCAGUGAGGAAUCUUCGUCAAUGGCCGAGAGGCUGAACCAGCCAAGUCGCGUGAGGGAAGAAUGUCCUAUGGACUGUCAACCUCUUUUGUCAGGGAGCAAAGUCACCCACGUGUGGGUGUUGGAGAGUACCUGAAGAAACAGCAUCGCCUAACCCAGUUCCAGCAGCCGCGGUAAUACGGAGGAUGCGAGCGUUAUCCGGAUUUAUUGGGGUUAAAGGGUGCGUAGCCGGGUUAUCAAGUCAGCGCUAAAAUCGUGGAGCUCAACUCCAUCCAGCCGUUGAGACUGAUGAACUUGAGUGGGCGAGAGGUAUGCGGAAUGCGUGGUGUAGCGGUGAAAUGCAUAGAUAUCACGAAGAACUCCGAUUGCGAAGGCAGCAUACCGGCGCCCGACUGACGCUGAAGCACGAAAGCGUGGGUAGCGAACAGGAGUAGAUACCCGAGUAGUC